rnacentral:rRNA from 1 species
AUUGAACGCUGGCGGCAGGCCUAACACAUGCAAGUCGAGCGAGCGGCGGACGGGUGAGUAAUGUAUGGGGCCUGCCCGAUAGAGGGGGAUAACUACUGGAAACGGUGGCUAAUACCGCAUACUAUCGGAUAACCCAUAUGGGAUUAGCUAGUAGGUGGGGUAAAGGCUCACCUAGGCGACGAUCUCUAGCUGUUCUGAGAGGAUGAUCAGCCACACUGGGACUGAUACACGGCCCAGACUGCUCCGGAGGAAGAAGUGGGGAAGAUUGCCGAAUGGGAGCAAGGCUGAUGCAGCCAUGAGGCGUGGAUGAAGAAGGCCUUCGGGUUGUAAAGUGAUCUCGGCAGCGAGGCGUUAACUACCGAAGCAGCACCGGCCAACUCCGUGUCAGCAGCCGCGGUAAUAC